CAUUAAGUAUCUUAAUCUAAAAGUAAUGAUCUUUUAAAUCAUUUAUAGUAAAUUUACUCUUAAUGA
rnacentral:tRNA from 1 species